GUGUGGAUCUGGGUUAGCUCUUCAUUCAAUAAAGCACAAGCGUGUGGGUAUCUCGCACCGGGGCUGCUCUCCUGCUGGGAUUGAAGCUUAAGGCGACUGUGGGUUCUUCAGACGACCUUCGUGACGACAUGAUGGAUGGUUUCCAGGUCGUGGAAAGCCGUCGGCGCCCAUUAUUCAGGAGAAGCUCGGGCCCCUGGGAGCUGUAGCGAGUCCUGGCAGCCCGUUUCUUAGGUAUGGGUGGUAUGAGACGGAUGUCGAUGGAGGAUUCUUCCUUUCGGCUUUGGGUUUUCCUGGAAGGGAGAGUGGUGGGGACUCUGUGGGCUUCAUGAGGUGUCUAUUGCUCGGUUGGGUGAGUUUCUGAAUUCUUAGUUGUCUUUAUGUAGGAUGUCGUUGUUCUGUCGUUUUAUUUUGGUGACUAAACUCGAAGCUUCGAGAGAGCUCGCAUUCAGCUUUGCAUUAAAAUUAUAGAUGCAAUCUAAUAUAUAUAUAUAUAUAUAUAUAUAUAUAUAUAUAUAUAUAUAUAUAUAUAUAUAUAUAUAUAUAUAUAAAAGUAGAAAUUGAAAGAAAAUUUAUUAACAAUUGAAGCUGUCCACGUAAGGAGCAACUUCUCACCUAUGAAUGCCAUCUAGAUUAUAUUAAUUUUCAGUAUGCCAUGUGUCUUCGAUUAUUUUAUCUAACAAUCUUUAAGUAUUGAAUGAUAGCAUUAUGUUAUUAAAAAAAGUGCAUUGAAGCUUAUUUAUAUGUAUUAAAUUUUGUUAUGAAAGUAUGAUAUUAUUGUACUCUUGCAAUUAAAAUCCACUUAGAAUAUGGAUCGACAUCAGAAAUUUGAAUCUACAUUAUGUUCUUAUUUAUAAAUAAUUUUUGAGAAAAAUGAUCAAUUACCUAGAACCCACGUGCAAUGCGCGGGCUCAAAACUAGUUUUAUAAAUUUCAGAGACCAUUUGAUCUCAUACCAAAUGCUGCUAUUGUUGAUAGAAAAAUAUAAAUUUUGUAUUAAAUUCUUUGUUGCCCUUACGUAAUUUGCCGGUAAUUUUGUUGUUUGGUUUGUUGUUGGGCUUAUAUUCUGCAUUAAUAUGGUGAGUGCAAGAGAGGAUUUAAUCUCAUACGAGAUGCCGUCAGUGGUAAUAGAAAUGCGUGGUUUCUUUUGUUUCGUACUAAAUUCUUUGUUGCCCUCACAUAACUUGCUGUAAAUUUGUCAUUUGGUUUUGGUAAUGAACCUGAAGGUUUGAGAAAGUUCUUGUAUUUAGUUUUGCAUGAGUGUCGUGGAUGCAAUUUUACAGAUUUGAGAGAGGGUUUAAUCUCUCACAUAGUGCCUCUAUUGGUAAUGGAAAUUGAUGGUUUCUUCUGUUUCGUAUUAAAUUCUUUGUUGCCUUUAUAUAACUUGCUGUUGGCUCGUCGUUUGGUUUUGGCAAUGAAGAAUCUUCGAGAGACAACUUGCAUUCAAUUUCACACUGAUAGGUGCAGUUUUUCACCCAUUUGAGAGAGGAUUUAAUCUGAUACUGGUGGUAGGAGUGCAUGUGGUUUCUAUUCUUUCAUACCAAAUUCUUUGUUACCUUUAUGUAGCUUGCCGUUAGUUUGUUCUUUGGUUUUGAUAAUAAACCAGAAUCUUUAAGAUAUAUCUUGCAUUCACUUUCACACUAAUAUUGUGGGUGCAAUUUCCCAGAUUUGACAUUAGGAUUUAAUCUCAUACCGAGUGCCGCUAUUGGUAGUACAAAUGAAUGGUCUCUUUUGUUUUGAACUAAAUUUUUUGUUUCCUUUAUAUAACUUGCUAUUAGUUUGUUGUUUGGUUUUGGUAACGAACCUGAAACUUUGAGAGAAAACUAACAUGGAGUUUUGCAUGAAUGUUGUGGAUACAAUUUCACAGAUUUGAGAGAGGAUUUAAUCUCAUAUCGAGCGCCUGCUAUUGGUAAUAGGAAUAAAUGAUUUCUUUCACUUUAUAGGUUUGUUGCCUUCAUAAAGCUGGCUGUUUGUUUGUCUAGAUUUUGGUAAUUAAGCCCGAAGCUUCGAGAGAGAACUUGCAUUCAAUUUUGCAUUAAUAUUGUGGGUGCAAUUUCACAUAUUUGAGAGGACAUAUCUCAUACAAGGUGCUGCUAUCAGUAAUAAUAAUGCAUGGUUUAUUUCAUUUCCUACUAAAUUCUUUGUUAUCUUUAUAUAACUUGGCAUUAGCUUGUCGUUUUGCAUUAGUAAUAAGCAGGAAGCUUCGAGAGAGGUCACAUACAAUUUUGCAUUAAUGUUGUGGGUGCAGUUUCAUAGAUUUGAAAGAGGACUAAAUCUCAUACAGAGUGCCCCUGUUGGGUAAUAGAAAUGCUUGGUUUGUUUCCUACCAAAGUCUUUGUUGCCUCUUUAUAACUUGCCAUUAGUUUGUCGUUUGGGUUUGGUAAUGAACCUGAAGCUUUGAGAAAGAGCUCACACUUAAUAUUGCAUUAAUUUUGGGAGUGCGAUUUUACAAAUUUGAGGGAGGACUUAGUGCUGCAUCGAGUGCAUUACCAGUAAUAGCAAUACAUGGUUUCAUUUGUUUCACACUAAAUUCUUUGUUGCCUUUUGAUAGCUUGCCAUUGAUUUGUCUUUUGGUUUUGUGAAAGAACUGGAAGCUAGCAUUCAGUUUUGCAUUAAUAUUGUGGAUGCAAUUUUAUACGUGUAUCAAUAUCAGUUGGUUUAUUGUUUAUUUUUGGUGGAUGAACCUGAAGCUUCGAGAGAGAUCUUGUAAUUGAUUUUGUGUUUAAUAUUGCUGACAUAAUUUCAUAGGUUUGAGAGAGAACUUAAUAUGUGAUUUCUUUUGGUUUUACAGGAGUUUCAUGAUUUAUUGUUACUGAAUAAAAACCAGCACCAUGUGUAGGUUAAAUAUCAUAGAACUUAACACUUCAUGAUUUGCUCAGCCAAUAGAAAGAUAUUUACAUAUAGAGUUCUCAGCUAGUGGUCAGAAAGCCAUUGCCAAGAUUUUUUAUGAAAAUUUACAUGGAAUUUAAAUUAUCAAAGAGUAGCAAUGUAUUUUCUUAUUCAUGAAAUUUCUAAAUUACUUGGUUGAUAUAUGUUCUCCAUGUGAUGAUCAGUCUUUGACUUGUGUCAUCAAACUUGUGGAUCAUAUUGAUUGGAGAAAAAUGCCAACCCUGAAUAAAUUGGCAUAUUAUUAGUGAUUUUCCUGAAGGAGAGCUAGUGGUUGAUUUGCUUAAUUCUCAUCCACCAAUGGUCUUGAACUCAUCAUUUCAAGAAGAUUGCUUCUCUUGCUUUGUCCUCCCACCAAGAGCAUAAUUAAAUCUUAACAAAUAAAAAAAUACUGUAAUUUCUAAAAGAUAAAUCCUUUGUAAGAAUGUCAUUUUUGCAUACAUGUAUUAGGUUAAACAAAUAAGCAAUGCUUUAAUAUGGUUUUCUCUACCUUCUUUGCCUCCAUAAAGAGCUUCGUGGAACUAUUUCCUGAAAAGUAGUGUAAUUUUUCUUUUUUUGGAUGAACUGAGAACUAGUGCAAUAAAUUUAGUCUUAGUAUGGGCCAAUUAGAUAUACAAAACUACGUGUUCUAGCAAACUUUUUUUUCUUUUCAGAUAGAGGAGGGAAACCCAAUAGAAGAAGAAGUGCUUGGACCAGGCCAGGGUUUUUACUUCAGAACAUCUCCCUAAAGUCGAAAUCUUGCAUGACAAAACCCAAGCUGCAUAUACUUUCAUUUUUCUUUGGUAAUGCAACAUGCAUAAAAGGCGAAAGAGGGUGCAAAAAGUUCCACUUCUCUACCUUCUUGCUGUUUUAUUGCUCUUUGCCAGCUAGUUAUCUCUAGUGUGGCUUCUUUCUUUUACCCUUUCUCCUGUCUUCCUAUUAAAACAGAAAUUAAUUGAUUAUGUCAACUAUUUUUCUAUAUGUAAAUAGGAUGAAAACCAGCAUCAAGCUCAUAAUUAUAACAUCGAGAUACUCAACUGAAGAAAAAGGCAAAAACGCUCCAAGAAAUUCAGGGGGUGUUUGGUUUGCAACCGAAAUCAGAAUGAGAAUGGAAAUCGAAAUGGCUUGAAAUCGAAAUCGGAAUGGCCAAAUCCUCCAAAGUGUUUGGUUUGUGACCGAAAUCGAAAUCGGAAUCGAAAUCGGAAUUGAAAUUUGAAUCCAUAGAGGAGAGUAGGGAUUGAGUUCUAUAUAGAUUGAGCCAUUCUCAUUCCACCCCGGAAUCGGAAUCGGAAUGGGACUCCUCCCAACCAAACGGUUAGAAUGGGAGUCACCUAUCUGAUUCUGAUUCCAGACCCCCAUUUCCCCCAACCAAACACUUCCUCAAAGAAUUUAAAUCAACAUCCGAAACUUGGACUUUGUCCAAACCUGAUUUGAAGAUCCUCCAUGGUCCAAAGCCACAAGUGAUGGAUUACAUUUGGUUAACUAGGACUUGGCCUAGUUAUCAUACUCUUUUGCUUAGCAACCACAUGUUUUGUUUUAAAUAUUGGGUGGUGCAUCCUCAAGUUGAGAGACAUUGGUAAUUAAAGUGAAGGUGUGUCUCCCUUGUUUUCUCUCAGAAAAAAAGAAAAUUAAGAAAAAUCUUGCUCCUACCACAACUUUGCUAUGUUAACAUGCAGCAUUAUGCAAUUUCAUAAAGUUUAUUGAGGCACUAAACAAACCAUUGGCCUAACAAGUUGCACGAUCUCCAUAUAUUAAAUUUUUAUUUCAAACUUUCUCUCAAAGAUAUUUUAAAAGUAUGAGUGUAAACCUAACAGUCACGGUUCAAUUUGAUUACUUAUCUAAUAAAAAAAAAAAAUUAGACUCUAUAGACUUCAAAUCAAAUUUUCAUGUGCUGCAGACCAUAUGACAACUCCAAGAAGUUUGAAGAUCAGAGAGGGUGUUAAUCACUUGGUGGAGGAAAAACAAAAAUCUAAGAAAUCAUAUAUGCAACAUAUUUUGCAUAUUGUCUUAAAGAAACUAGAUUUAUGAACCUAAAAGUGGAGUUGCUGAUUGCCCUCCAGUCAACACGCAAGUGCCUUGUCUUACCACUUUCAGUCAUAUUGGUAUUGCACCUGGACUCAUAUAUCUCCACUUUAAAAUCUUGCCAAACUCCUUCAGGCUAAUGUGGUAUUAAGACAAUCUUGCAGGGGGUGUAAUCAGUAGAAUGGUGUUAUCAGGAUAGACGAUAUCACCCCAUGAGUCAUCGGAUCAUGCAACCUUCCGAAUGAAAGCUUUUAAUCUUCUAACACAUCUAGCUCAUGAUCACUAUAUUCUGAAGAAAUAGACAAAACCCCCAUACUUCCCUUGACCCCUGAAAUUGGACAGGCAGCAUGUUGUUCACAAAAAGCUCAUAAUGGAACUUGCGUAGUAGGAAGGAAUGUUGCAGACACAUAUUGGGAUGAAAUCAAUACAUUGUCUUCUGCCACCACUGGCCACCUUUUCUUUCUCUUGGCGAUUGCCACCUGCAGUCUGGAUUGUGUUUCAAUCUUGUAUACCAUUCAGAGUUGCUCCUCGAGUCUCUCACUUUCAAUGUGUUGGACAAAGUAAAGCAUGCAUAAUUGUUUUUAUUUGUCAGCUUUUUUUAAGGUAGAUAUAGUCAUAUUGUAGUUUUAUUUCAUGCUGUUGUAAACUGCAAGCUAGCUACUUGCAUCUUCACAAAAAUUAUGCUCAACGCAUCAGUCUUAAUCAUCAUCAUCAUUGGUCCUAUUAUUUCCCCUUUUGAGAGGAAUGUCUUCCAUUAUUUUUGCUUCUUAUCUUUGUUAAGGUACUAGUUUUGGCUCUGAACGCAGUGGUGUGGUUUUGGGAGUCCUUCCCCAUGGCUGAUCUCUGCUCUUCCAUCUCUCAAUUCAUUUAGAACAACAUUAAACUGUGUAAGGAUUCUUUGGCAAGGUUUUGCAGGGAUGAUCCUUCAAAGGCUCCUGUACAGCCUGCAGGAAAAUUCCACAUGGUGAGACCUUGCUCGGAAGGACCAGACAAGCGGUGUUGCGUUCGCAUAAAAAGGUUAUCCGCAAAGAGUAUUUUCUGCAGACCAUCCUGACUCACCAUCCAGCACACUUGUCCUCAGGCCCUUCUAAUAGAUUUGCAGCCAGAUUCUCUGUUUCAUGUGUAAUUUUUAGCUGGGACCCCAAAGAACCUUGGUAGGCAAGAUUUGUUGGAACCGCAAAAAUCUGGGGGCUUAUUUGGAUGACUGGGUUUAAAAUUUCAUAAAAAUCAUAGAUUUGGACCAA
rnacentral:lncRNA from 1 species